rnacentral:misc_RNA from 1 species
CCACCUCUGUUUCUAGUUUGGCCUUGGCAUCUUUCACCAUUUCAUGCAGCUCUUUAAACCUUAAAGUCCCAUCCAAUAGCCUGUAGCUCAAGUAUAUCCUAUAACAGAGCACAUCAACACGACGAGCAUCCUUGGCAAUGAUUAGCUGCUUCUUCCAACAUCCAAGUAUGCCAGAAAUUUUACCGCAAGAAGCACAGCAAUAACUACCAUCUAGUUGCAUCAAUUGUCCCAGAUCAACAACGCCCACCUUAUCACGUUGAAGUGCACACUCAAUAUGACAUGAUA